rnacentral:rRNA from 1 species
AUUGAACGCUGGCGGCAUGCCUUACACAUGCAAGUCGAACGGCAGCGCGGGGCAACCUGGCGGCGAGUGGCGAACGGGUGAGUAAUGCAUCGGAACGUACCUGGGAGUGGGGGAUAACGUAGCGAAAGUUACGCUAAUACCGCAUAUUCUGUGAGCAGGAAAGUGGGGGAUCGCAAGACCUCAUGCUUCUGGAGCGGCCGAUGUCGGAUUAGCUAGUUGGUGGGGUAAAGGCCUACCAAGGCGACGAUCCGUAGCGGGUCUGAGAGGAUGAUCCGCCACACUGGGACUGAGACACGGCCCAGACUCCUACGGGAGGCAGCAGUGGGGAAUUUUGGACAAUGGGCGAAAGCCUGAUCCAGCCAUGCCGCGUGAGUGAAGAAGGCCUUCGGGUUGUAAAGCUCUUUCGGCGGGGAAGAAAUCGGUGAAGCUAAUACCUUUACUGGAUGACGGUACCUGAAGAAGAAGCACCGGCUAACUACGUGCCAGUCGCCGCCGUAACAC